CGACGAUUGUGGACAAGAGUUUGAUCGAGCAGUUACCCUCCGAGUCCCAUGGAGAUGGCGCCGGCGGCGACCUCGGCGAGGCCGGCGGUGAGGACGAGCGAGGAGGGCGCGCUGGCGCCGGAGAGCCCCGCGGCGAGGGCGAAGGGCACGGUGAGGCCGUCGGACACCCCCAUGAUGACGUCCCGCACCACUUCCCCCGCCGUGAAAUGCCGCUCCCGGUGGCUCGGCCGCUUCUCCAGCAUCGGCUGCCCCCACGUCGCGCCGUCGCCGUCCAUAGAUCGCCCGGUAGGGAGGGAAGCGCGUGCGUGGUGAACGGGCUACGCAGAUGCAGUGCACGCUUGAUUGGGGUUUCGGGUGGAAGUGGAACGCCGCGUGGAACUGCUA
rnacentral:misc_RNA from 1 species